rnacentral:rRNA from 1 species
CCUACGGGUGGCAGCAGUGGGGGAUAUUGCACAAUGGGGGGAACCCUGAUGCAGCGACGCCGCGUGCGUGAAGAAGCGCCUCGGCGCGUAAAGCCCUGUCAGCAGGGAAGAAACUGACGGUACCUGAAGAAGUAGCCCCGGCUAACUACGUGCCAGCAGCCGCGGUUAUACGGAGGGGGCAAGCGUUAUCCGGAUUUACUGGGUGUAAAGGGGGCGCAGACGGCGAUGCAAGCGAGGAGUGAAAGCCCGGGGCACAACCCCGGGACUGCACGUGGAACUGGGUGGCUGGAGGGCAGGCGGGGCAGGCGGAAUUCCUGGUGUAGCGGUGAAAUGCGUAGAUAUCAGGAGGAACCCCGGUGGCGAAGGCGGCCUGCUGCACUGCAACUGACGUUGAGGCCCGAAAGCGUGGGGAGCAAACAGGAUUAGAUACCCUAGUAGUC